UCUGCGCGCCGCGCCGUCUCCACCGAGUAGGGGUCGAGGACCAGGGGCCAGAGGUCUGGGCAGGCGGCCAGUCAGCAGCUCCUGCCGGGUCCCUGGGGAGGUGGAGCGACAGGGGGUGCGGCUGAGAGGACGGAGUGAACGACCCGCCCUGGAGCCUGCCCGGUCACCGCGCCAGAGCCCGGGCCUCACCUGGAAGUGCUCCUGGAAGCGGAUGGGAAGGAUCUGCGCCAUGGCGGGCACGGUGCCGAGGCGACGGCGAAGACAAGCGAUGGUGGCGGUCGCGGCAACCUCCCUCACUUGCUGAGACGGGCGGCGGCGGCAGCAGCGGCGGCGGCCGCGCAGGCGCAUUGCCCCGGUCCGCGUCCCGCACGCGCUCACAGCCGCAUGGCCCCUGCACGGGAUCACUCCGCCCGCCGCCUGAGGGUCCGCGAAAAGUAGUUCCGCGCGUACCCGCACUUCCGGCACCCCGGAGCACAGAUGUCCCAAAAACACAGCGAAAGGAAUCUCAGAAGUAUGUGUGCCUCGCUUCUGCAGGGAAUCUUUCCUGGCUCAUGCAAGUUCUAGACAGUGCUAUAUGAGAAUAUCAGUGCGGAGAGCCUGCAAAGAUCACAUCUAGCAGCAGAUGAUCAAUCGCAGGCCACUGAGGAUCGGCUGGAUUGUCUGUGGUCAUGCAACAGAAGUAGCAGUUCCAGAACUAGAGCCCACACCUGCUUUGCCCAGCGGUCAGUUGUUUUCUGAGGCACCAUUUGACGAUGUGUUUUGCAUGCAGAUGGCUCAGCUGCAUAAAAGAGGUUUGUCAGGAAAGGGAAGCCUUUGGCAUUCUGUAUACGCAUUCCUACCGUGUAAUCGAUACCCUGUAUGCUUCAUGUUGCUCACUGGUAAUUUUAAGAAAUUAAUAGUCCACCGUGAAUAACAGUCAUUGUGCAAUUAUUUGCACAAUGGCUUUAUAAUCUAGUAUCAUCCAAAAAUACGUUAAAGAAGAAAACAGACUGCUCACUUUCAAAUUAAAUCUCUUUUCCAGUAUCAGCCAAAACCUUUGCAGAUUGCCUUUUCAACACCUGUGUAGCCUUAUCAUCUAAUAAUACAGCUUUUGCUACUGGU